GGCUCUCAUUGCCGGCGACGGCCGGGUAUGGGCCCGACGCUCCAGUGCCAUCCAUUUUCAGGGCUAGUUGAUUCGGCAGGGGGGGUGGUUUAC